AGCUUUGUGAAUCCGUGCAGAGUUUUGGUCAGACACCAACCAACUAGGGUUGAUCAGACUUCCAAGAUAAGUGAAGUU
rfam:Schistosoma haematobium scaffold2287_2, whole genome shotgun sequence.